rnacentral:misc_RNA from 1 species
AGAAACAGGAGUUGGUAGUGGAUUUACUGAGUAAGGACCAUUAGUUGAAGGCUGGCAAUUAAUUGGCGCAGGAGGAAGAGAUGUCUUCCCAACAGCAUUUUCUGCUGAACAUUCCACAUUGUCUUUUGGCUUCUUAGGGUCAUCACUGAGCUGAAGUUGCACAUGCGAUUUGACAGUGUAGUCUGACCUAAGUUUCUUUGCAGGAAGAGGGCUAGGAGAAGAAUUAUCCAGAAAAAUACCAUCUUCCAGUAACAGAUGAGGCGAUCCAGCA